AUUGAACGCUGGCGGCAUGCCUUACACAUGCAAGUCGAACGGUAACAGGUCUUCGGAUGCUGACGAGUGGCGAACGGGUGAGUAAUACAUCGGAACGUGCCUAGUAGUGGGGGAUAACUACUCGAAAGAGUGGCUAAUACCGCAUGAGAUCUACGGAUGAAAGCAGGGGAUCGCAAGACCUUGUGCUACUAGAGCGGCCGAUGGCAGAUUAGGUAGUUGGUGGGAUAAAAGCUUACCAAGCCGACGAUCUGUAGCUGGGCUGAGAGGACGAUCAGCCACACUGGGACUGAGACACGGCCCAGACUCCUACGGGAGGCAGCAGUGGGGAAUUUUGGACAAUGGGCGCAAGCCUGAUCCAGCAAUACCGCGUGCAGGAUGAAGGCCUUCGGGUUGUAAACUGCUUUUGUACGGAACGAAAAGCCCUGGGUUAAUACCCUGGGGUCAUGACGGUACCGUAAGAAUAAGCACCGGCUAACUACGUGCCAGCCGCCGCCAUAAUAC
rnacentral:rRNA from 1 species